GUAGCCAUUUCCUUCUGCAGGGGAUCUUCCUGACCUAGGGAUCAAGCCCGUAUUUCCUGCACUGGCAGGCGGAUUCUUUACCGCUGAGCCACCAACUGAUCACAGACCUCAAUAUACACAUGCUAAAGUAGACUUCAUAUCUGAACCGGAUCUGAGGACCCCCCAAAAUGCUUAGGGGUGGAAAAAGAAACCACCAAAUCCUUUCUGAUAUCUGUGACAUCAUCUAGAACAGUGAAGAGAUCUGAAUCUGAAAGACUCAGAAGACCAGGUUUCUCCCUCCUACAUUUUCCUCCUCCUGAAAACUUGAGCAAACCUCUUAACCUCAUGAAGCCUCGAUGUCUUCAUCUGUCAUCCUGAAGUAACACAUGUACUAGAUAGGGCUAGGCAUGUUUAGACAUCCCACCUGUUUUAAUCUCUAUAACAAGCCAGGAAUAUAGGCAUCUGAUUUCCAUUUUAAAGAGGAGGAAACUGAAGUCCAGAGAGUUUAACUAAUUUUCCCACUUUACCACAGCUGGUAAGCAGCAGAGGUGGGAUUCAGAGAUUCAAGCCCCCAGUUCCAGAGAUUUCACUUAUUCCUUCAUUUAUUGCUUCAUUCCAAAAAGUUACUGAGCAUCUACUACACACCAGGGCAGCAGAGGGUGAGGUUGGACAGCCCUCACCGAUUCAAUGAUCAUGAACUUGAGUGAACUCCAGGAGACAGGUGAGGGGCAGGGAGGCCUGGCCGUGCUGCAGUCCAUGGGCUCACAGAGUCGGACGCGACCUAGCGACUCAACAACAACAGCACACACCAGACACGCCUCUCGAUGCCGGGGACACAGCAGUCCCUAACACAGACAAACAUCGCCCUGUUCAGAGCACUUAGAUUUCCACUCGGUCAGGCUGUCCUUCUAAAACUGGUCGCACAAAGGAACGGGGGCAACAGGACCGCAGUGGCCCAGAUCAGCCCCUUGGCACGCACACCGUCUUCAGAAGGAGGGCGCAGGAAGACUCGCGGGAAGACGCUAGCCCCGCCCACAGGCGAAAGGUGGAGCCAGGUGAAAAUCCACUGGGAAAGGGACAAAGGAGAGCAGCCUCAUCAACCCCUAGAAGCCCAGGAAACGCUCGCUCACAGUGCACUCCUGAAUGAUAACCACGGUGGAGCGGCAGGCCGGGUGCGCUGAAAGGAAGGACCGCAGAUUUUCUCCACACUCAUACGAAGCCAGAAGACUUUCCCAUCUUCACGUAUUUGAUGAUGCUGAGACCCACAAAGAUUCAGACCACCCGUGGAAUGGAUUUGCCUUGAUCCUUUGCUGGUGCUAGUGGUAAAGAACCCACCUGCCAAUGCAACAUUAUGUAAGAGAUGCAGGUAUGAUC
rnacentral:lncRNA from 1 species